rnacentral:rRNA from 1 species
CUCAAGGGAUAGCCUUUACGAAAGAAAGAUUAAUACCUGAUAGUACUUUUUCAAGGCAUCUUAGAAAAAAGUUAAAGAUUUAUUGGUUAUGGAUGGGGAUGCGUUCCAUUAGAUAGUUGGUGAGGUAACGGCUCACCAAGUCUUCGAUGGAUAGGGGUUCUGAGAGGAAGGUCCCCCACAUUGGUACUGGGACACGGACCAAACUCCUACGGGAGGCAGCAGUGAGGAAUAUUGGUCAAUGGGCGAGAGCCUGAACCAGCCAAGUAGCGUGGAAAAGGAUGAAGGUCCUAUGGAUUGUAAACUUCUUUUAUAGUAGAAUAAAGUGAGCCACGUGUGGUUUUUUGUAUGUAUACUAUGAAUAAGGAUCGGCUAACUCCGUGCCAGCCGCCGC